rnacentral:rRNA from 1 species
UACGGAGGGGGCUAGCGUUGUUCGGAAUUACUGGGCGUAAAGCGUGCGCAGGCGGUUUGCUAAGUCAGGUGUGAAAUCCCCGGGCUUAACCUGGGAACUGCGCUUGUAACUAGCAGGCUAGAGUGUGGCAGAGGGGGGUGGAAUUCCAGGUGUAGCAGUGAAAUGCGUAGAUAUCUGGAGGAACACCGAUGGCGAAGGCAGCCCCCUGGGCUAACACUGACGCUCAUGCGCGAAAGCGUGGGGAGCAAACAGG